rfam:Picea glauca, whole genome shotgun sequence.
ACAUGUAUACAACAGAAAUUUAAUGCACCAUAUCCCAUUAAAACUUUGUGAUUAAGCAUGCUUGGGAUAGAGUAGUACUGGGAUGGGUGACUGCUCAGGAAUUCCUAGUGUUUUACAUGCC